rnacentral:rRNA from 1 species
UACGUAGGUGGCAAGCGUUGUCCGGAUUUACUGGGCGUAAAGGGCGUGCAGGCGGUUUGUUAAGUGCAGGGUGAAAGCUCCCGGCUCAACUGGGAGAGGUCCUUGCAUACUGGCAAACUCGAGGGAGGCAGAGGAAAGUGGAAUUCCCGGUGUAGUGGUGAUAUGCGUAGAUAUCGGGAGGAACACCUGUGGCGAAGGCGGCUUUCUGGGCCUUACCUG